UGCAGAAUCCCGUGAAUCAUCGAGUCUUUGAACGCAAGUUGCGCCCGAAGCCAUUAGGUCGAGGGCAUGCCUGCCUGGGCGUCACCC
rnacentral:rRNA from 1 species